UCACCCCCUCAAGCCCUGGCUUGGUGUUGGACUCGGUGCGCGACUCUGCGCUCCCCACCGGUCCCAAAGUGAAUGACGGCGUCUGUGAGGACUCCAGUACACUGAGCUUCUUCGUGAGCACGUACUCGGAUCAGCCCUCCAGGCCCGGUCUACCCCGGGACCACCCUCGUCUUUUCGAGGGCGGUUCCCACGUUUUUCAA
rnacentral:misc_RNA from 1 species